CACUUAUCUAGAGAGGUGGAGGGACUGGCCCUAUGAAGCCUCGGCAACAUCUCGAAUGUGCCAAUUCCAGUAACCGUAAUGGUUUGAAGAUAAGCA
rnacentral:ncRNA from 19 species